rnacentral:rRNA from 1 species
GAUGAACGCUGGCGGCGUGCCUAAUACAUGCAAGUCGAGCGAACAGACGAGGAGCUUGCUGCUCUGACGUUAGCCGCGGACGUGUGAGUAACACGUGGAUAACCUCCCUAUAAUUCUGGGAUCACUUCGGGAAACCGGAUCUAAUCCCGUAUAAUAUCUUGCACCGCAUUGUUCAAUAGUGAAAUACGGUGUUUCUGUCUCUUAUAGAUGGAUCCGCGCUGCAUUAGAUAGUUGGUACGGUAACGGCUUACCAAGGCAACGAUGCGUAGCCGACCUGAGAGGGUGAUAGGCCACAUGGGAGCGGAGACACGGUCCAGACUCCUACGGGAGGCAGCAGUAGGGAAUCGUACGCAAUGGGCGAAAGCCUGACGGAGCAACGCCGAGUGAGUGAUGAAGGUCUUCGGAUCGUAAAACUCUGUUAUUAGGGAAGAACAAAUGUGUAAGUAACUGUGCACGUCUUGACGGUAACUAAUCAGAAAGCCACGGCUAACUACGUG